GCUUAUCAAAAUGUUCAACAUAAUCCUAUUGGGUAUUGUCUUAGUGUUAACGGGUAUUCGAGCCCAAUCUUGUGGGGUUUAUAUCAGAAAUCAUAAUUACAUUGGGGAUUAUUGCGUUACUACAAUCUUAAAUUCAACAGAAGGAACCUUCUAUAGUCCUUGUUACAAUGUAACAGGUCGUUCAUAUGAAGAUAACAAUGAAUGUAACUAUAUGAUAGAGACCGGAAGUGGGGUGAAAGAUAUUCUGCUGUAUUUUGAAGAUUUUGAUACGUUGACGGAUGUGUUGGUUGUAGAUACUGAUGGUAAAACCAAUAAUAAGAGAGAUUUUACUGGCGAUAUGACAGGAGAACAUUUUACAAUACAAAGCGUGAAGAGAUACGCCAUGUUAAGAUUUGUUACUGACUUCGAUGGUGCUGGACGGGGAUUCUCUAUAAAAUAUAAAAUUCAAAACGCUGGACCAUAUGUACCGCCAACGACAACGACCACUACAAGAAAGCCAGUGGGACAUAUUCACCACCAUCAUGUAGAUCCAAUGUUUCACGUAGAUCGAGGCUUCAUUAAACCUCAAUAA